CAGUAGCCGCGGGAAAACGGAGGGGGCUAGCGUUGUUCGGAAAUACUGGGCGUAAAGCGCACGUAGGCGGCUUGGUAAGUUAGAGGUGAAAGCCCAGGGCUCAACCCUGGAAUUGCCUUUAAGACUGCCGAGCUAGUAGGUGAGAGAGGUAAGUGGAAUUCCGAGUGUAGAGGUGAAAUUCGUAGAUAUUCGGAAGAACACCAGUGGCGAAGGCGGCUUACUGGCUCAUUCUAGACGCUGAGGUGCGAAAGCGUGGGGAGCAAACAGGAUUAGAGACCCCUGUAGUCCCUGUCUCUUAUAC
rnacentral:rRNA from 1 species